rnacentral:rRNA from 1 species
GAUGAACGCUGGCGGCGUGCUUAACACAUGCAAGUCGAACGGAAAGGCCCUGCUUGCAGGGUACUCGAGUGGCGAACGGGUGAGUAACACGUGGGUGAUCUGCCCUGUACUUUGGGAUAAGCCUGGGAAACUGGGUCUAAUACCGAAUAUGACAAUUGUUUGGAUGCGAUUGUGGAAAGCUUUUGCGGUAUGGGAUGAGCUCGCGGCCUAUCAGCUUGUUGGUGGGGUAAUGGCCUACCAAGGCGUCGUCGGGUAGCCGGCCUGAGAGGGUGUACGGCCACAUUGGGACUGAGAUACGGCCCAGACUCCUACGGGAGGCAGCAGUGGGGAAUAUUGCACAAUGGGCGCAAGCCUGAUGCAGCGACGCCGCGUGGGGGAUGACGGCCUUCGGGUUGUAAACUCCUUUCGCAACCGACGAAGCCUUUUGGUGACGGUAGGUUGAGAAGAAGCACCGGCUAACUACGUG